rnacentral:rRNA from 1 species
CCUACGGGUGGCAGCAGUGAGGAAUAUUGGUCAAUGGACGAGAGUCUGAACCAGCCAAGUAGCGUGAAGGAUGACUGCCCUAUGGGUUGUAAACUUCUUUUAUAUGGGAAUAAAACGUUCCACGUGUGGGAUUUUGUAUGUACCAUAUGAAUAAGGAUCGGCUAACUCCGUGCCAGCAGCCGCGGUAAUACGGAGGAUCCGAGCGUUAUCCAGAUUUAUUGGGUUUAAAGGGAGCGUAGGUGGAUUGUUAAGUCAGUUGUGAAAGUUUGCGGCUCAACCGUAAAAUUGCAGUUGAAACUGGCAGUCUUGAGUACAGUAGAGGUGGGCGGAAUUCGUGGUGUAGCGGUGAAAUGCUUAGAUAUCACGAAGAACUCCGAUUGCGAAGGCAGUUCACUGGACUGCAACUGACACUGAGGCUCGAAAGUGUGGGUAUCAAACAGGAUUAGAUACCCUUGUAGUC